UACGUAGGGUGCAAGCGUUAAUCGGAAUUACUGGGCGUAAAGCGUGCGCAGGCGGUUUUGUAAGUCAGAUGUGAAAUCCCCGGGCUUAACCUGGGAACUGCGUUUGAAACUACAAGGCUAGAGUGUGGCAGAGGGGGGUGGAAUUCCACGUGUAGCAGUGAAAUGCGUAGAGAUGUGGAGGAACACCGAUGGCGAAGGCAGCCCCCUGGGAUAACACUGACGCUCAUGCACGAAAGCGUGGGGAGCAAACAGG
rnacentral:rRNA from 1 species